CCAAUUAGAGAGUUCAAGAACUUGGAGUCCAUUGGUGUUCCAUUCCCAAAGAAUCAACCGAUGAGGAUUUACUCUAGUCUGUGGAAUGCAGAUGACUGGGCUACAAGGGGUGGUCUAGUGAAGACAGAUUGGAGUCAUGCUCCAUUCACUGCUUCCUAUAGGAACUUCAAUGCGAAUGCUUGUGUUUGGUCUAAUGGUGCAUCUUCUUGUGGCAAAAAUUCUUCAGCUUCUAACAACAGCAAAACUUGGCUUUCGGAGGAACUUGAUACAACAAGUCAAGAGAGGCUGAAAUGGGUGCAGAAGAAUUACAUGAUAUAUAAUUACUGCACUGAUACUAAGAGGUUUCCACAGGGACUUCCUCCCGAAUGCAGCAUGUCCUAGACUAAGGAAGAGGAGACAACUACGUACAUAUAAACUACGAAAGUGUUCAAUUCUUUUAAUUUUUUUUAUUAUUUGUAAUGUGAUUUGAGUGGAA
rnacentral:misc_RNA from 1 species